GCCUCUGAGGAUGAUCAGAACAAUAACUUUCGUUCUUCUGAGUUGUCCAUGCGGAAAAUUAUUUGAGACCUGAACUGAAGUGGC
rfam:Lupinus angustifolius cultivar Tanjil chromosome LG17, whole genome shotgun sequence.